rfam:Stegodyphus mimosarum contig56808, whole genome shotgun sequence.
GCCUUCGUGGUGUAAUGGUCAGCACACUGAGCCGGUAUUUCAGAGGUCCGCGGUUCGAUUCCCGGCGAAGACG